UGCAGUGGAGCGACGAACCGGGGCUUGCCCCGGGGCAAAGCCGCGAACGGGUGAGUAACACGUGGGUAACCUGCCCUGUUGAUUGGGACAACCCCGGGAAACCGGGGCUAAUACCAAAUGUGCUCUUUCCACAUCAGUGGAUCGAGGAAAGGAGGCUUCGGCUUCCGCAACGGGAUGGGCCCGCGGCCCAUUAGCUUGUUGGUGGGGUAAUGGCCCACCAAGGCUUCGAUGGGUAGCUGGUCUGAGAGGACGAUCAGCCACACUGGGACUGAGACACGGCCCAGACUCCUACGGGAGGCAGCAGUGGGGAAUCUUGCGCAAUGCGCGAAAGCGUGACGCAGCAACGCCGCGUGAGGGAAGACGGCCUUCGGGUUGUAAACCUCUUUCAGUUGGGACGAAGCCACGGCGGUUAAUACCCGUCUGUGGUGACGGUACCUUCANAAGAAGCCCCGGCUAACUACGUGCCAGCAGCCGCGGUAAUACGUAGGGGGCAAGCGUUGUCCGGAAUCAUUGGGCGUAAAGCGCGUGUAGGCGGCUUGGUAAGUCCGCUCUGAAAGCCCGGGGCUCAACCCCGGGAGGCGGGUGGAUACUGUCAAGCUCGAGUCCGGAAGAGGCGAGUGGAAUUCCUGGUGUAGCGGUGAAAUGCGCA
rnacentral:rRNA from 1 species